rnacentral:misc_RNA from 1 species
UAGUUAAUAGGCAUGCAAUCUUAAAA